AGUGAACGCUGGCGGUAGGCCUAACACAUGCAAGUCGAACGGCAGCACAGUAAGAGCUUGCUCUUACGGGUGGCGAGUGGCGGACGGGUGAGGAAUACAUCGGAAUCUACUUUUUCGUGGGGGAUAACGUAGGGAAACUUACGCUAAUACCGCAUACGACCUACGGGUGAAAGCAGGGGAUCUUCGGACCUUGCGCGAUUGAAUGAGCCGAUGUCGGAUUAGCUAGUUGGCGGGGUAAAGGCCCACCAAGGCGACGAUCCGUAGCUGGUCUGAGUGGAUGGUCAGCGACAGUGGAAGUGAGACACGACCCAGACACCGACGGGAGGCAGCAGUGGGGAAUAUUGGACACUGGGCGCAAGCCUGAUCCAGCCAUACCGGGUGGGUGAAGAAGGCCUGCGUGUUGUAAAGCCCUUUUGUUGGGAAAGAAAAGCAGCAGGUUAAUACCCCGCUGUUCUGACGGUACCCAAAGAAUAAGCACCGGCUAAUUUCGG
rnacentral:rRNA from 1 species